AUGCAUGAUGAGGACAUUUCAUUGGGAGUUCUUCAAAUCUCUCCCAUGAUUCAUAAAUAGACUUAUCAUCUAACUAGAUAAAAGAUGUGAUGUCAUUUCUAUGCUU